rnacentral:rRNA from 1 species
AUAUCAAUAAGCGGAGGAAAAGAAACUAACAAGGAUUCCCCUAGUAACGGCGAGUGAAGCGGGAAAAGCUCAAAUUUUAAAUCUGAUAGUAUUAGCUAUCCGAGUUGUAGUUUCAAGAGACGUUUUCGAUUUGCGCCUGGGUAUAAGUCCUUUGGAACAGGGCAUCAUAGAGGGUGAGAAUCCCGUUUAUGACUCGGAGCGGCAGAUUUAUGUGAUACGUUUUCAAAGAGUCAGGUUGUUUGGGAAUGCAGCCUAAAAUGGGUGGUAAAUUUCAUCUAAAGCUAAAUAUUGGCGAGAGACCGAUAGCGAACAAGUACCGUGAGGGAAAGAUGAAAAGAACUUUGAAAAGAGAGUUAAACAGUAC